AUUGAACGCUGGCGGCAGGCUUAACACAUGCAAGUCGAGCGGAGCGGCGGACGGGCGAGUAAUGACUAGGAAUCUGCCCGGUCGUGGGGGAUAAAGUCCGGAAACGGGCGCUAAUAUCGCAUACUAUCAGAUGAGUGUAGGUCGUAUGGGCUAGUUGGUGGGGUAAAGGCCUACCAAGGCGACGAUCCGUAACUGGUUUGAGAGGAUGAUCAGUCACACUGGAACUGAGACACGGUCCAGACGCCUACGUGAGGCAGCAGUGGGGAAUAUUGGACAAUGGGCGAAAGCCUGAUCCAGCCAUGCCGCGUGUGUGAAGAAGGUCUUCGGAUUGUAAAGCACUUUAAGUUGGGAGGCGUUACCAACAGAAUAAGCACCGGCUAACUUCGUGCCAGCAGCCGCGGUAAUUC
rnacentral:rRNA from 1 species